GUGGACAUGAGGGCCCCUGUGCAGCUCCUCAGCUUCCUGCUGCUCUGGCUCCCGGGUAUCCGGUGUGAUAUCCAGAUGACCCAGUCUCCAUCCGUGUCUGCAUCUCUGGGAGAGAAAGUCACCAUCACCUGCAAGGCCAGUCAGAGCGUUAGCAAUUAUUUACACUGGUAUCAGCAGAAACCAGGGAAAGCUCCCAGGCUCCUGAUCUAUGGUGCAACCAAUUUAGAAUCAGGCGUCCCUCCCCGGUUCAGUGGCAGUGGAUAUGGGACAGAUUUCACUCUCACCAUCAGCAGCUUCAAGGCUGAAGAUGCUGCCACUUAUUAUUGUCAACAGGGUAGUAGUUACCCUCCCACAGUGAUACAGGCCAGUACAUAA